rnacentral:rRNA from 1 species
AGCGAACGCUGGCGGCAGGCCUAACACAUGCAAGUCGAACGAACUCUUCGGAGUUAGUGGCGGACGGGUGAGUAACACGUGGGAACGUGCCUUUUGGUUCGGAAUAACUCAGGGAAACUUGUGCUAAUACCGAAUGUGCCCUUCGGGGGAAAGAUUUAUCGCCAUUAGAGCGGCCCGCGUCUGAUUAGCUAGUUGGUGAGGUAACGGCUCACCAAGGCGCCGAUCAGUAGCUGGUCUGAGAGGAUGACCAGCCACACUGGGACUGAGACACGGCCCAGACUCCUACGGGAGGCAGCAGUGGGGAAUCUUGCGCAAUGGGCGAAAGCCUGACGCAGCCAUGCCGCGUGAAUGAUGAAGGUCUUAGGAUUGUAAAAUUCUUUCACCGGGGACGAUAAUGACGGUACCCGGAGAAGAAGCCCCGGCUAACUUCGUG